GGUAGUCCACGCCGUAAACGAUGUCGACUUGGAGGUUGUUCCCUUGAGGAGUGGCUUCCGGAGCUAACGCGUUAAGUCGACCGCCUGGGGAGUACGGCCGCAAGGUUAAAACUCAAAUGAAUUGACGGGGGCCCGCACAAGCGGUGGAGCAUGUGGUUUAAUUCGAUGCAACGCGAAGAACCUUACCUACUCUUGACAUCCAGAGAACUUAGCAGAGAUGCUUUGGUGCCUUCGGGAACUCUGAGACAGGUGCUGCAUGGCUGUCGUCAGCUCGUGUUGUGAAAUGUUGGGUUAAGUCCCGCAACGAGCGCAACCCUUAUCCUUUGUUGCCAGCGGUUCGGCCGGGAACUCAAAGGAGACUGCCAGUGAUAAACUGGAGGAAGGUGGGGAUGACGUCAAGUCAUCAUGGCCCUUACGAGUAGGGCUACACACGUGCUACAAUGGCGCAUACAAAGAGAAGCGACCUCGCGAGAGCAAGCGGACCUCAUAAAGUGCGUCGUAGUCCGGAUCGGAGUCUGCAACUCGACUCCGUGAAGUCGGAAUCGCUAGUAAUCGUAGAUCAGAAUGCUACGGUGAAUACGUUCCCGGGCCUUGUACACACCGCCCGUCACACCAUGGGAGUGGGUUGCAAAAGAAGUAGGUAGCUUAACCUUCGGGAGGGCGCUUACCACUUUGUGAUUCAUGACUGGGGUGAAGUCGUAACAAGGUAACCGUAGGGGAACCCUGC
rnacentral:rRNA from 1 species